UAGAAAAUGCAACAAAAAAAAUAAAUAAGAGAUCAGAUACAAAAUAUUAGGAUUAAGAUUCAUGAAAAAAGUAAAGCCGAUUACAAAAUACAUAAAAAACAAAAGAGUAAAAAAAAAGAAAAAAAUAAAAUAAAAAAACAAUACAAAAUAUUAGGGUUAAUGUUCACCUUUAUUUGCGUCUAAAAGGAGCAACGGUUUCACCCGAACAGUCGUCAAUGUGAACACGUCUGCAAUAUUUUAUAUUUCCCAGAGAUGUCGUGUGAUAUGUUUAGGGGUAAUGUCGUGUGAUAUGUUUAGGGGUAAUGUCGUGUGAUAUGUUUAGGGGUAAUGUCGUGUGAUAUGUUUAGGGGUAAUGUCGUGUGAUAUGUUUUAGGGUAAUGUCGUGUGAUAUGUUUUGGAGUAAUGUCGUGUGAUAUGUUUAGGGGUAAUGUCGUGUGAUAUGUUUAGGGGUAAUGUCGUGUGAUAUGUUUAGGGGUAAUGUCGUGUGUUAUGUUUAGGGGUAAUGUCGUGUGAUAUGUUUAGGGGUAAUGUCGUGUGAUAUGUUUAGGGGUAAUGUCGUGUGUUAUGUUUAGGGGUAAUGUCGUGUGAUAUGUUUAGGGGUAAUGUCGUGUGAUGUGUUUAGGGGUAAUGUCGUGUGAUAUGUUUAGGGGUAAUGUCGUGUGAUAUGUUUAGGGGUAAUGUCGUGUGAUAUGUUUAGGGGUAAUGUCGUGUGAUAUGUUUAGGGGUAAUGUCGUGUGAUAUGUUUAGGGGUAAUGUCGUGUGAUAUGUUUAGGGGUAAUGUCUUGUGAUAUGUUUAGGGGUAAUGUCGUGUGAUAUGUUUAGGGGUAAUGUCGUAUGAUAUGUAAAGAGGUGAUGCUGUGUGAUAUGUUUUGGGGUAAUGUCGUGUGAUAUGUUUAGGGGUAAUGUCGUGUGAUAUGUUUAUGGGUAAUGUCGUGUGAUAUGUUUAGGGGUAGAGUCGUAUGAUAUGUUUAAGGGCAGUGUCGUGUGAUAUGUUCAGGGGUAAUGUCGUGUGAAAGGUUUAGAGGUGAUGUCGUGUGAUAUGUUUAGGGGUGAUGUCGUGUGAUAUGUUUAGGGGUAAUGUCGUGUGAUAUGUUUCUUGGUGAUGUCGUGUAAUAUGUUUCUUGGUAAUGUCGUGUGAUAUGUUUCUUGGUUAUGUCUUGUGAUAUGUUUAGGAGUAAUGUCGUGUGAUAUAUUUAUAAGUAAUGUCGUGUGAUAUGUUUAGGUGUAAAGUCGUGCGAUGUGUUUAGGGAUAUUAUCGUGUGAUAUGUUUAGGGGUAAUGUCGUGUGAUAUGUUUAGGGGUAAUAUCGAGUGAUAUGUUUAGGGGUAAGGUCGUGUGUUAUGUUCUGGGGUAAAGUCGUGUGAUAUGUUUUGGGUUAGUGUCGUGUAAUAUGUUUAGGGGUAAUGUCAUGUGAUAUGUUUAGGGGUAAGGUCCUGUGUUAUGUUUUGGCUUAAAGAUGUGUGAUAUGUUUUUGGGUAAUGUCGUGUGUUAUGUUUUGGGGUAAAGUCGUGUUGGGAUAAUGUCGUGUGAUAUGUUUAGGGGUAAUGUCGUGUGAAGUGCU